GCAGGGAAUCUUGCGCAAUGGGCGAAAGCCUGACGCAGCAACACCGCGUGGGGGAUGAAGGCUCACGGGUCGUAAACCCCUUUUCUCAGGGAAGAAAAAAAUGACGGUACCUGAGGAAUAAGCCUCGGCCAACUACGUGCCAGCAGCCGCGGUAAUACGUAGGAGGCAAGCGUUAUCCGGAUUCACUGGGCGUAAAGAGCGCGCGGGCGGUCCUCUAAGUUAGAUGUGAAAGCUCUCAGCUUAACUGAGAGAAGCCAUUUAAUACUGGGGGGCUUGAGGGCAGCAGAGGAAGAUGGAAUUCCCGGUGUAGUGGUGAAAUGCGUAGAUAUCGGGAGGAACACCAGUGGCGAAGGCGGUCUUCUGGGCUGUACCUGACGCUGAGGCGCGAAAGCGUGGGGAGCAAACAGGAUUAGAAACCCGGGUAGUCC
rnacentral:rRNA from 1 species